CAGAGGGUCCAGGAUAAGCACCAGGAGGAUGAGCGCCUGGAGGGUAGCCAGCUGGGGGAUAUCCUUGGGGUGGAUAGCCAUGAGAUGGAGGAUAUCCUCCGGGUGGGGGAUACCCUCCAGGAGGUGGAUACCCUCCAGGAGGUGGAUACCCGCCAGGAGGUGGGUAUCCAUGGGAAGGAUAUCCAGCUCCAUGGGCAACACCAUGAGCCAGAUGGGAGAAUAAACCUUUGUCAGAUUCAUCAUGUUUAUCUUUUCCACCCCCCAUGAUUUAUCAGCUUCUAAUAA
rnacentral:lncRNA from 1 species